AAGCAGGCAGUCUCCAAUUACUCUAUUUUCAAAAUCAGUAUUCGAUUUUCCAGAAAAUUUAUAAAAUCACAAUUUCUCCUAAAACAUAGCAAUUUACCAUUUAAAUUCAUUUUCAUAAAAUCACACAAUUGUAUAAAACUACUCUAGAUAAUUAAUACGAUAAUAAGUUUACUCACAGUUUUCGAAAACCAAAUUCGGGUACUCCAACUAUUACUCCUCGGGUGUAAUUUCUUUGCCCUUGCCAGAGGAUUCGCCACCUUGACAAAUUGCACAAUUAAAAGGUUUACUACUUUGGUACUAAACCAAAAUAAACUAAUUUAUACUACUAAUGCAUGAUAUGAAGUGCAAAAUGUCUAAAUUUUGCCUAAUCGCGAUGUUAGCCUAUUUCGAUCUUUUACUCGAUAAAUCGAUAUACGCAUCCGUUUAAACUCCAAAUUAACUUUUUUCAGUUUCUAUACCUCAAUUGCACCCAAAUUGACUUAAUGUUCCUCAGUGUGGUGCAAAUUAUCAAUCCGAGUAACAAAUUACGAAAAUACCCCUAGUGGGUAAAAUUUUGUAUUUUUGCUCCAAAAAUUCCCAUUAUUUUUCUAGGCUCAUAAUUCAUCACUAUUCAUCAUAAUUCCUCAAAUAAACAUCAAGAUCAGCAGCCAAUAUUCCCCUAGAAAAUUCGGCCAAUAAUGGUAAUGAAGGAAAAUGAAUUCUUUUCUUGUUGUUUUGUUUCUAAAUAUGCUAAACUAACUAAAAACACUAACAUAACUUAAAAUCAAAUUAAUCUAACUUCAUUCUCUCUCCAUACCCAUUUGUGCAGCCAUGAAUUUACCAUGAAAAUAUGAAAUCUAACCAUGGAAAAUAAGGAGAAAUGCAUGGGAAAGGUAGAUCACAAGUCAAAAUCAAGAAAUUUUACCUUUGAUUGCUUGAUUCCUUGAAAUCCACCAAUUUUCCUUUAAUUUUCCCACCUAGGUUUCUUGUUUU
rnacentral:lncRNA from 1 species